AAUAAAAUUUUUUAUAGUUUAAAAAUUUAUUAUAAAUUUAUUUUACAUAUAAAUUUUAGUGUUAAUUUUUAAUUUAUUUAAAUAAUAAUUAAUAUUUAUUUGUAGUAAUUAAAAUUAAAAAUUUAAGUAAUUAAGAUUUAGUAAUAUUUAAAUUAAUAACAAAUUUUGUGCCAGCAGUUGCGGUUAUACAAAAAUUAAAUUAAAUUUUUUUAGGGAUUAAUUAAUAAUGAAUUAUAUAAUAAAAUUAAAAUUUAAAUUAUUAAGUGAAAUUUUAAUUUAUGAAAAUUUUAUAUUGAAUUAUGAAUUAAAAAAUUUUAUUAAAAACUAGGAUUAGAUACCCUAUUAUUAAAAAUUUAAAUUAAUAAUACUAAAAUAGUAUAUAAUUAUUUAUAAAAACUUAAAUAAUUUGGCGGUAUUUUAGUUUAUUUAGAGGAAUCUGUUUAUUAAUUGAUAUUCCACGAAUAAAUUUACUUAAUUUAUUUAAUUUUGUAUAUCGUUGUUAUAAAAAUAUUUUAAAAUAAUAAUAAUAUUUUAAUUUUUAUAUUAAAAGUUAAAUCAGAUCAAGAUGCAGAUUAUAAUUAAGAAUAUAAUGGAUUACAAUAAAUUUAUUUAAUUGGAUAUUAUUUUUAAAAAUUAAUUGAAAUUGGAUUUAAAUGUAAUUUUAUUUAAUUUAUUAAAAUGAUUUUAAUUUAAAAUAUGUACAUAUUGCCCGUCGCUUUCAUUAAUAAAUUGAAAUAAGUCGUAACAAAGUAGAGGUACUGGAAAGUGUUUCUAGAAAGAGUA
rnacentral:ncRNA from 1 species